rnacentral:rRNA from 1 species
UAACCUGCCCAAGAGAUCGGGAUAACACCUGGAAACAGAUGCUAAUACCGGAUAACAACAGAUGAUGCCUAUCAACUGUUUAAAAGAUGGUUCUGCUAUCACUCUUGGAUGGACCUGCGGUGCAUUAGCUAGUUGGUAGGGUAACGGCCUACCAAGGCGAUGAUGCAUAGCCGAGUUGAGAGACUGAUCGGCCACAUUGGGACUGAGACACGGCCCAAACUCCUACGGGAGGCAGCAGNU